rnacentral:rRNA from 1 species
CGCCUCCUGCAAACAACGACGUAUAGGAGGUCUUGCCUGCCCAGUGACAAUGUUAAACGGCCGCGGUAUUUUGACCGUGCGAAGGUAGCGCAAUCACUUGUCUUUUAAAUGAAGACCUGUAUGAAUGGUGAAACGAGGGCUUAACUGUCUCCCUUUUCUAGUCAAUGAAAUUGAUCUGCCCGUGCAGAAGCGGACAUAAUAAUACAAGACGAGAAGACCCUUUGGAGCUUAAGAUAUAAAGAUCAUCUAUGUCAAUGAGCCCCAACACGGCAACAAACUAAAUAGCAACUGAUCUUAAUCUUCGGUUGGGGCGACCACGGGAGAAAACAAAGCUCCCACGCGGACUGGGGUAAACCCUAAAACCAAGAAAAACAUUUCUAAGUAACAGAACUUCUGACCAUUAAGAUCCGGCUAAACGCCGACCAACGGACCAAGUUACCCUAGGGAUAACAGCGCAAUCCCCUUUCAGAGUCCAUAUCGACAAGGGGGUUUACGACCUCGAUGUUGGAUCAGGACAUCCUAAUGGUGCAGCCGCUAUUAAGGGUUCGUUUGUUCAACGAUUAAAGUCCU